rnacentral:rRNA from 1 species
GUGGGGAAUAUUGGACAAUGGGGGAAACCCUGAUCCAGCAAUGCCGCGUGAGUGAAGAAGGCCUUAGGGUUGUAAAGCUCUUUCGCCCGCGAAGAUAAUGACGGUAGCGGGAGAAGAAGCCCCGGCUAACUCCGUGCCAGCAGCCGCGGUAAUACGGAGGGGGCUAGCGUUGUUCGGAAUUACUGGGCGUAAAGGGCGCGCAGGCGGGAUAAAAAGUCAGUGGUGAAAUCCCACAGCUUAACUGUAGAACUGCCUUUGAUACUUUUAUUCUUGAGUUCGGGAGAGNGAGACGGAAUUCCAGGUGUAGUGGUGAAAUACGUAGAUAUCUGGAAGAACACCAGUUGCGAAGGCGGUCUCUUGGUCCGACACUGACGCUGAGGCGCGAAAGCGUGGGGAGCAAACA